rnacentral:rRNA from 1 species
UACGGAGGAUGCGAGCGUUAUCCGGAUUUAUUGGGUUUAAAGGGUGCGUAGGCGGUCUGUUAAGUCAGCGGUAAAAUUGCGGGGCUCAACCCCGUCGAGCCGUUGAAACUGACAGACUUGAGUUGGCGAGAAGUACGCGGAAUGCGCGGUGUAGCGGUGAAAUGCAUAGAUAUCGCGCAGAACUCCGAUUGCGAAGGCAGCGUACCGGCGCCACACUGACGCUGAGGCACGAAAGCGUGGGGAUCGAACAGG